AUUUAUUUCUUUGUUGUUGCGACGAUCCAGCUAGCUAUUAAAACUCUCAACUUGCCAACAGAAAGAGCAGUAGUACUACUAAAGCUCUCUCGUAAACUUUCGGCAGCUCUUGCUUUUUCUUUGCUUUGUUUCAAUCAAUGGCGGCAGGAAAUCUCUCCCUUGUUGCCAAAAGGAUCCUCAAUUUGUUGGAUCCUGAACGAAAUAUACGAGAGACUGCGUCUCGCUGGGGUGGACACCACAACCUUCUUCGAGGACUUGCGAAUAUCGUUUCAGAGCUUGCUCCCGUGCUUCUGGAUGCGGAGAAGAAGAGUCAGCGUGACCGCUGUAUCAGAAAGUGGGUGAUGGAUCUUGAAGAUGUUCUCUAUGAUGCUGAUAACCUCUUGAAUGAGAUCUCCACAGAAGCCAUGCGGCGAAAACUGAUGACCGAGAAGAGCGGAAUUGUCACACAGGUACGCAGUGAUUUCUUCCCACCUGCAUCCGUGGUUAAGAUGACGAAGAAGAUGCGUAGUUAUUAUCAGAAAAUAAAAGAAGUUGAGAGGAUACUAGAUGAAAUUGGAGCUCGGAGAAAAGAUUUUGAUUUGGAAAAUCUUAGUGAAGCAGAAGUUGACAUGGAAACAAACGAAGAUUCACUGAACCAGAUACGCUCAUUCAUAGACGAAGGAGUUCUCAUAAGUAGCCACGAUAAAAUUGAAAUCGUUGUUAGUUUGUUGGAUUCGAAACACAAAGGGAACUUGGUGAUUCUUCCUGUAUUUGGCAAAGCGGGAUUAGGAAAAACUACUUUUGCUGAAGACGUGUUCAAUGAUGAGAUGGUAGAAGAUCAUUUUGACUUUCAAAUUUUGUUAUCAGCCUCUCAGAAAUUUGAUGAUCAACAUAUUCUGAGACUGAUACUUGUCCAUAGAACUGGUAGAACCGAUGAUGAUCUUUGGAGAGACCCACAGUCACAAAAGGAACUCCUUCGAAAUUCAUUAUUAUCAGAUGACAGACGGUCACCAAUGCGAAUCCUCAUUGUAUUAGAUGACCUGCAGAGCGAAGACCUUAAAAAAUGGGAUUCUCUAACAGAAGUUUUUGAAUUUUGUGCAAAGGGAAGUAAAAUUCUUGUGACUACCCGAUCUCCAAGGGUCGCACAGUUACUCCUCGUCAGACCUUAUCCGUCAAGCGAUCUAAACCAAGAGCAGUUGUGUAUUUUAUUUGAAAAGAUUGUUUUUGAUCAAGAGGAAGAAUCCUGGACCAGAGAUCGAUCUUUGUGGAUACGCAUCAGAAAUAAGAUGGUGAAGAGGUGUGGUGGACAUCCUCCUGACAUAAUGACAAUUGGAAGCAAGUUACGAUCUAGAACAGGUGAACAGUGGCAACUUUCCAAAUUAGGGGAGGACUACUUGUAUAAUCCAUUUCCUUUUACAAGUUACGCAAAAGAGAUUGCUGAGGUUCCACGAUUACUGAAGUUGUGUUAUGACGAUCUCCCUUCUCCUUUAAAACACUGUUUCGCUUAUUGUAGCUUAUUUCCGAAAGGCGAGGAGAUUGAUGUCCAGACGCUAAUAAGACUGUGGAUGGCGCAAGGCUUCAUUGUUAUUGCUAAGGAAUCAGAUAAGAAGUCUCUGGAGGAUGUUGGAUAUCAGUAUGUUCUGAAUUUAAUUGACAGAUACUUCUUGCAAGAAGUGGAAAGAGAUGCAAAUCAGGUGACAAAGUGCAAGGUGGAUUAUUUGAUGUAUGAUCUCGCAAUUUCUGUAACAGGUGACCAGUGCAGAAUAUUAGAUUCAGCAGCCACUCUUCAGAAAAAUAGUAAAACUUUUCAUGUGCGUUUCAAUUUUGACCUAAACUCAACAGAAGAUGUAGCAACGUUUGAUAGAGAAAAGAUGAGGACGAUUGUUUUGUCGGGUCAGUCAAGGCGAGUCUAUAAAGGGAUAGCUGUUGACACAAUUUUUGACAAAAUAACUUCCAAAUUUAGAUUUUUGCUGGCACUAGAUAUGCAUGCUUCAGGACUUGACAUAGUGCCGAAUACUAUUAGCAAGUUGAAACUUUUAAAGUAUCUUGAUAUUUCGGAGAAUGAGGACCUAACAAUCCUGCCUAAUUCCAUCUCGGAGCUGAUCAAUUUGCAAACGUUGAUACUCUCUAAAUGUUAUAAACUGGAAAAGUUGCCGACAGACUUUGGUAAUCUGGUCAAUCUACGACACUUAGAGAUCGAUGGAUGCAACAAUUUGGCUUAUCUUCCGCUAGGAAUCAAACAACUCAAACUUAAGGAGCUAUCACAGCUUGUAGUAAGUGUAGACUCCUCUCAGACACUUGUACGUUCGAGCGAGCUCAUACGACAGUUCGGAAUCAGAAAUUUGAGACUUAAAAACAUGAGACAUAAAGAAACAGUGGUCAACUAUUUGAAGGAGGUACCAUCUCGAAUUCAAUCCUUGUCAUUAGAAUGGAAAGUUGGCAAACAGAAUUCCGUCCACGAACAACCACCACUGUCUCUUGACAAAAAUCUCCCUUCAGAUCUUAAAGAAUUGUCUAUUAACGGAUUCGGGGGUGUUACAGUGUGUUGUCCUGACUUUCAUUUGUGUGACAAGCUAGUGAAACUUUCAUUGAGCAGAUGCACAAAUUGCAAAAAUCUACAGGCUGUUAAUCAGAUAUCUGGUCUCAAGGUGUUGGUACUGGAAGAUCUUACCAACCUAGAAUACAUGUUGGUCGGUGAUUCAUCAUCAUCAUCAGCAAAUCUCUUUUCAAGCCUAGAAAAACUCUGGCUCUCAAAACUGCCUAAGCUACUGGGAUGGUGGAUAAACGAAAUCAGUCAUGUGUGGCCUUCAUUCGAUCGUCUUUCGAAACUUGUUAUUGAAGAUUGCCCCAACUUGUCUUCCAUUCCAUUAUGUCCAAAUCUAGCAGAAGGUCUAGUUCUGGACCGGACUAAAUGGAAGUUGUUUGAGUCACGCAAGAACCUAUCAAGAGCAGCAGCCCAUGAAGGAACAUCAUUGCCAGCCUCCUCAUUACCUUAUCGUCCCCAUUCUUUCACCUAUUUGGAGAGUAUGAGCAUUUCUGGCAUUGAAGACCUCGACGCUGAUAAAAUCCAGUGGAGGACCAUGAAAAAACUACGGUUCUUGAGAUUUAAUUGUAUUCCGGGAAUGAAAGAGCUUCCUUCCCAACUUCAUGAUGCUUCCAGCUUGGUAGAACUGCAGGUUUGGCGCUGUCCUAUCAAAGCAAUCCCAGGAAGCAUCAUAAAUUUCAAAAAGCUUGAGAAACUUGUGAUUGGCAUAUGCCCCCUUUUGCAAGAAUUACCUGCUCAAUUUAGUAGAGUUCAAAUUCGGACACUGGAGAUUAAGGGCUGCAACACGUUACUAAGGAGAUUGGAAGUGGGCAAAGGUGCAGAUUGGAAUAAAAUUAAAUUAAUCCCGGAAAUAAAGUUGGGUCCGAUUUCAGGGAGAUGAUGUAAAGUCAUUGCCCUGUUCAGCAGCAGAUAGAGGAACAAUAAUUUUAAUUUCAUACUGUUUUCCUGUGUCAGGACAUACGUUUGGUCCCCAUGUAAUGAGAAUAACGGGAGGAAGGAUUUCCAUUUUGGUGCUUCAAUGCCAGUCUGUUGGGUUCUGAUUGAAACUUGUUCAACUUUCGUUACUCUUGCUUGUUUUGGCUCAGCCCUUCCACUACUCUAACCAGUUGAGAAUUGAUUUCUCUAUAGUACUGGUGCCAAGCGUUGGCGCAUCGCCUUAACAAUCAUCUGUCUAGACCGUGCCGCAGCCCAGUUUUUUUGUGUUGUGACGUUGUGACCACCACUCUCAGCCAUCCUGAUCCAUCAGUGCCCCAACCUUUAAUAAUCAGCACUGCGGCAUCACUCGAUGCUUCGCAUAGAUUUUGAGAUCUGAGACUAAACGCAGUAACCUAAACUUUACCGCACUGCGAUGCCGAACAAUUAUUUUCAAGGUCUAUGAAUAAGCUUAUCCUUUAGAAUUGAAAAGAGAGAUUAUUUAAUGGGAAAAAACUUGUUACAUGUCUAUUGAGAGCUUGUGAAAGAGAGUAAGUUGUUUGAGACCUUUUAUCUCAAUGGGAAUUUCUUAGCAGUAUCUUUUGGGUGAAAGGGUUUAGGAGAUUUUGUAAGAGAUUGUUUUGAGAGUUUAGUUUAUUGAAGUUGUAAAAAUUCAUCAAAGAUAGAGGUGAUAGAGAAUUUUUCAAGAGGAAUUCAACGAAGUAGUAUGCAUUAAAUUUGGCCCUAAA